rnacentral:lncRNA from 1 species
CUUAAAAUCAUAUUAAUUGUUGAAUGGAAGUGAUAUCACACUAAUCCAUGUGGAGACGAUACAAAUAAUACUUACCCAAUAAUUUUUUUUGUCAAAAUGGCAUUGUUGUUAGGGUUGGCGUAUAGAUAUUGCAAGCAUAACAAUAAUUUCUAUUAUUUUAAGUAAUUUUGCAUUUCUAUAUUUAUACAUUGUUAUAUUUGUUAUCCAUCAUGUUUGUUCACUCGUGUGGUUAGAAUUUCAGAACUCUAUUUACGCGAGGAAGUUUAUCGAAAUAUCAACUUCU